rnacentral:lncRNA from 13 species
GUAAAAAUCCAUCAGAGCAAAAAGAAUAAUAUUCCAGGAAAGAGUUGGGCCUGAAGAAACUGCCUGCACAGAGCUGUGGAUGGAUUCUUCAGACACAGAGCAAGCAGUAAGUGGAACAGUUUCUACUGUACUUGUUUAAAUCA